rnacentral:rRNA from 1 species
UCUGGCGGCCAUAGCGCGGUGGUCCCACCUGAUCCCAUGCCGAACUCAGUAGUGAAACGCCGUAG